rnacentral:rRNA from 1 species
UACGUAGAAGACUAGUGUUAUUCAUCUUUAAUAGGUUUAAAGGGUACCUAGACGGUAAAUCAAGCCUAGUUAGGGACUAAUUUACUAGAGUUACUUAUGAGGGGGUAUUAAAGUACUGCUGGUGUAGAGAUGAAAUUCUGUCAUACCUCUUUUCGUAUGAAAAAUAAUGGCACAGGUAUAGGCGAAAGCAUCCCCUUAUGUGAUAACUGACGUUGAAGGACGAAGGCUUUGUGUCGCGAACAGG